CAUCCUUUCUCCAGAGAAUCGUGGGCAUUGGACUGCCUGUGGCCACACAGCUGAGCACUAAAGUACCAUCCACUGCUACAGUCUGAUUCACAGGACCUUGUCGAAUGACUGGGGGAGGCCGGUCUGCAAUCACUGCCAAAAGGAAAAACAGGAAAUAGAUUUCUACAACUGGAAGCAAUUUUCUAAUCAUCCCAGCAACAGCACUUGCUCUAGGCUUUGAAACAAACUAAUUAACAAGUAAUUAAGCAAAAACAAGAAAGCAAGAGAGUAAAAUCUGCAAGUGCGUUUUCACUGCACCCUUCUGAUUCUCUACUGGUAUGAAAUUUGCUAAUUCUGUUGGAGGCGUAUUAGAAAGCUGGAGUUUGUAAGCUGGCAGGAGUGUUUCAGAUAUUCUGUGGAUGAAAAAUCCAAGACGACAAUGAUGCUUUUAGAAGCCAAUUUCAAAACCCUCUAGGAAUGGAUUCCCCCAACUACACAAUGAUGUUUUUGAAACAACUCUUCUGAAAGUCCCCUGGAAAGCUCCACAGUGUUCUUCUGUCUUCGAAAGGUUACCAAUUUUUCUCUAAGAAGACCUGUUAAGAUCUGACCAGCAGUUAUAGGGAUACAUUCCUAUUUUCUCCUCAAAUUCUAUGCAUGAUCUCAUGAUGGUAAUUUCUACAGUGACCCAAGAAUAUUGUUAUGUACCCUGUCAUGUAACAGAGAGAGAGAGAGGCAGAGACACAGGCAGAGGGAGAAGCAGGCUCCAUGCACCGGG